rnacentral:rRNA from 1 species
ACGCUCGACACCUACGGGGGCAGCAGUGGGGGAUAUUGCACAAUGGGGGAAACCCUGAUGCAGCAACGCCGCGUGAGGGAAGACGGUUUUCGGAUUGUAAACCUCUGUCCUUGGUGACGAUAAUGACGGUAGCCAAGGAGGAAGCUCCGGCUAACUACGUGCCAGCAGUCGCGGUAAUCUGAGCGGGCUGGCAAGGC